rnacentral:ncRNA from 1 species
AAAAAAGCAUUGAAUGGAAAGAGUAGAAAAUCAAUGGAAUCGCAGAGAGGAAUUGUCAUCGGCUGUAAGCAAUUCUGAUAACCGGAUUUUUGAAGUGCCUCCAGGAGCUGAUUCGGCGAAAAUGGUUGUGUAGAUACAACGUACAUUGUAGUUGAAUACGGGUUACACACGUUACGUGUCUUGAGUGAAAAUCAUUGAUUUUUAAUAGAGUGGAACCGCGGAUUACUUCGUCUCUUAG